UACGUAGGGUCCGAGCGUUGUCCGGAAUUAUUGGGCGUAAAGGGCUCGUAGGCGGUUUGUCACGUCGGGAGUGAAAACUCAGGGCUCAACCCUGAGCGUGCUUCCGAUACGGGCAGACUAGAGGUAUGCAGGGGAGAACGGAAUUCCUGGUGUAGCGGUGGAAUGCGCAGAUAUCAGGAGGAACACCGGUGGCGAAGGCGGGUCUCUGGGCCGAUACUGACGCUGAGGAGCGAAAGCGUGGGGAGCGAACAGG
rnacentral:rRNA from 1 species